GAUGAACGCUGGCGGCGUGCCUAAUACAUGCAAGUCGAGCGACAGGAUAAGAAGUUUCCCCCUUUGCCGUUAGCGGGGGACGGGGGAGUAACACGGGGGUAACCUACUAUUAAGACUGGGUUAACUCCGGGAAACCGGAGCUAAUACCGGAUAAAAUUUGGAACCGCAUGUUUUUAAAGUGAAAGAGGGUUUGGCUUUCCCUAUUAGAUGGACCCGCGCCGAAUUAGCUAGUUGGUAAGGUAACGGCUUACCAAGGCAACGAUACGUAGCCGACCUGAGAGGGUGAUCGGCCACACUGGAACUGAGACACGGUCCAGACUCCUACGGGAGGCAGCAGUAGGGAAUCUUCCGCAAUGGGCGAAAGCCUGACGGAGCAACGCCGCGUGAGUGAUGAAGGGUUUCGGCUCGUAAAACUCUGUUAUUAGGGAAGAACAAAUGUGUAAGUAACUGUGCACGUCUUGACGGUACCUAAUCAGAAAGCCACGGCUAACUACGUG
rnacentral:rRNA from 1 species